rnacentral:tRNA from 1 species
GGUCCUGUCUGGCUCAGUUGGUAGAGCAUGAUUGUGGGUUCGAUUCCCGCUGGGGCCA